GGGAAAUAAUUGAAUCACAGGGCCUGGUCUUUCCUGUGCUGUUCUCGUGAUAGUGAAUAAGUCUCAUGAGAUCUGAUAGUUUAUCAGGGGUUUCCGCUUUUGCUUCUUCCUCAUUUUCUCUUGCUGCCGUCAUGUAAGAAGUGCCUUUCACCACCCGCCAUGAUUCUGAGGCCUCCUCAACCAUGUGGAACUGAAUUCAGGAAGUCCUGCCAGCUUACCCUAGACUUCAGAGAACCAUGGACUCUGAAUAUAAACCUCCCCACAAUACCACACUCUGCCAAUCCAUCCUUCACAGGACUAACGUUCCAUAAAGGCUUCAGAAAAAGAAAAUCAAAAGCUUUGCUUAACUGUGGUCAUUACAAUGAAGCAAAUGCAGUUCUCCCCAUGAUGCCUGUCUGUGAACAGCGGUGCCAUAUUAAUCUACCUCUGUUGGCAAACAGCUCUGAGAUCAGCCCCUAAACCUUUUGCAAAUGUAAAACAAUCAAACAAUCAAAAUAUAUACAGACACAUAAAUAUAUCCAUAUAUGUAUAAUAUAUAUACAACACGUAUACUUAAUAUGAUUUAAGACAAUAUUAUUUUAUUUUUGUUUUUUCAGAGACAGGGUCUCACUCUGUCAACCAGACUGGAGUGCAGUGGUUGAUCCUAG
rnacentral:lncRNA from 1 species